rnacentral:lncRNA from 1 species
UUUCAAAGGACAAAGUUAGCCUGAGAAGGCCAGUUUCUCUCAUAGCAAUGGACAGAAAGGAGCCUCCUCACACAGGUGGUACUGGUGGGUGCUCAAUGACCCAGGGAAGAACUGCUGACUGCAGACAGAAAACUGGAGAUAUGCUUUAAGCAGGGAGAGCACUGACUAGGCAGAGCGUCACUCAGGUCCUACAAGUUAGGGAAAUUCUGGAGUACACUCAAUCUGUGCCAGAGGCCAAUUCUACCCUUGGGCUGUAACUAGAUUUCUGGGGGAAAUGAAAAGCUUUUCAUAUUUCCUCCUGAUGCUUUGUGGCUGGCUGAAGCACAUCUAGGGAUCUGACCUUACCAGUUUAUCAGGAUUUUCUGAUACUGAGGUAAUAUUUGUGUCUCUCACUGCAAAAUAUAAUAUAAUAUAAUAUAAUAUAAUAUAAUAUAAUAUAAUAUAAUAUAAUAUAAUAUAAUAUAAUAUAAUAUAAUAAAAUAACAAUAAUAAUAAUAAAUCUUUUGGGAUUAGGUGAAUGUAGUUCACAGAAAUGACCAUGAUAUCUGUUCUUCAUUCAGAAGAAACACUAGAAGCAAUCAAAUGCCUUUAAGAAACAGGAGAAAUGAAAACACAGGAGCCAUCAAUGAGUACAGUGUGGCAGAUCUUUGAAGACCAGAACAUAGUUUAUGCAUGCACAGGGUCAGAUUUUCAGCUGAUUGCAAGGAGGCUGCACAAGGUCACUACAGUUAUGCAUAAUGCUGCUUCAUCCUCUCCUGAAUUGCCACCUAGAACAGCUACAAGAUAUUUUGCAACCAGACGCAGGUUUCCUCUUCCUGUGCUCCGAGCCAGCCAGAUGCAAACUGGCCUCGAACCAGAAGCCGUGUAGCUGCAGUUAGCAGGCACGCAGCCCAAGCUAACAAGCCUUGCUGAGAAGGCAGGAUGUGUCUGCUCAGGCUCAGCACUCUGCUACUGCAGCUACACAGCCUCUGCUGAGCUGGGGGUGCAGGCAGGGUAUGCUCCCGCCUUCCUGGACUGUGGGCAAAAGAAGGUCUUCUCAGCUGUUGAAGAUGACAACCAACAUCACCUGCAUCACAGAAGAGCUUCAUCCUUUGUCCCAUACAUGUAGCUUGAAGAACAUAGUCAGUCCUUUAAAAUGAUUUCAAAGUUAAAACAAUAGCUAGUGAUAUUGCUAUGAGAAACAGAAUAAAUGUCUGAACAGCAUGCA